rnacentral:rRNA from 1 species
UACGUAGGGGGCUAGCGUUGUCCGGAAUCAUUGGGCGUAAAGCGCGCGUAGGCGGCCAGAUAAGUCCGGUGUGAAAGUCAAAGGCUCAACCUUUGAAUGCCGCUGGAAACUGUCUGGCUUGAGUCCGGAAGGGGCGAGUGGAAUUCCUGGUGUAGCGGUGAAAUGCGCAGAUAUCAGGAGGAACACCGAUGGCGAAGGCAGGUCUCUGGGCCAC